rnacentral:rRNA from 1 species
UACGUAGGGGGCGAGCGUUGUCCGGAGUUACUGGGCGUAAAGCGCACGCAGGCGGUCUGCUAAGUUUGGAGUGACAGUUGGUGGCUUAACUGCCAAAGUGCUUCGAAAACUGACAGACUUGAGGGCUUCAGAGGGACACGGAAUUCCGGGUGGAGUGGUGAAAUGCGUAGAGAUCGGGAGGAACACCAGUGGCGAAGGCGGCCGGCUGGGGGUGACCUGACGCUGAGGCGCGAAAGCGUGGGGAGCGAACCGG